rnacentral:rRNA from 1 species
CCAACAUUAAAACCACCUGUACCUGAAACCGACACAGGUAGGUAGGUAGAGAAUACUAAGGGGCGCGAGACAACUCUCUCUAAGGAACUCGGCAAACUGGCCCCGUAACUUCGGAAGAAGGGGUGCUCCGUUAAUGUUAGCCGGCUUGCCCGGUGAAGCAUGAGGGAGUUGCAAUAAAGAGGCUCAGGCG